AUGCCAGGCGUGGCCCCCCAUGAGCUGCUCCAGAAGCUCCAGCUGGUGCACCAGGAACAGGGCCAGACCCCCCAUGAGGCCCGCGCCACGGCCCAGGGUUCGCCCCUCGAUUCCAGGGUCCCGCUCCAACUCAAGACCCAGGCUCCGCCCUGGGCCCUGGCGAUAAGGAGGCCAUGCGAUUCCCGGUCGCCUCCCCCCAGCGCAUCCCGGCCACCGUGGCCCCCACGCUGCUCCUCUCGCCCAGCGUCUUCUCCCAGGCCAAGGCGGCGGGGCCCCCCCAGGACGGCGGCCCCGCCCCGGGCCCCCCCGCCCCGCGCCCCCCCGCCCCGGAGGAGGCCCCGGUGCUGUCCAGGGGCCAGCUGCAGGACACCCUGCUGCACCUCAUACGGACGGACAGCUCCUUCAUCGAUUGCAUCUACAAGGCGUACAUCGGCGGCCUGGCUAGAGACAGCCAGUUCUGAGGCCCCCCCUCCUUAAGAAGCCACCCUAUCAACCACUGCCUCUAACCACUGUUACGCCAGCGCCACCUACCUAUGCAACCGCCUCUCUUGGUCAACACACACGCACGCACACACACACACACACACACACACACACACACACACACACACACACACACACCCCUGCACGGCUUCAGUUCAAUGCUCUGUGGGACUUAUCUACCUAUAGGCCAUAUUGGCUCUAAACACUAGCUAGUGUUUAAAGCCAAGAAGCAAUGUGGCGGAUAGCGGUGAAUAAGGCGCAUGGGAUUAGUUAUGGUUCCAAGUUGGCAUCGCUCAUGUAUCAGAGAGUGAACGGAGGGCACACUUCCCACUGUGUUUAGGAGAGGAAACCGUUGUCUUAAUAUCUGAAUGUAGCAGAAUCGUUUUCAAUAUUAAUGGUCUCAUUCCAUCCAUGCCGUCUUUUACCCGCUAUUCCGUCUGAUGGCUAAGAAGCAAUAAAAUAAACAGACUUUUAUACAUUUGAGUACAUGCACGGAUGUGAACUGGAAUGUCACGUCAUUCCAGUUUCAUUCCGGUCAUUUUAUAGAUAGUUUUUAUCCAUUUAAUGUUUUCAAAAGAUAUUCAGAGUUCACUUUUUAUUCGUUCUUCAUUUGGGUGUAUCAAAAAAUAUAAAAAUUCUGCCCCGGUUAUUAGUAAAUAUAACUGUUUUUUACAAACGAGUAACGGUAAAGUAAAAGUUAGCGGAAAGCUAAAGUAGCAGCGAUUAAUAUUGAGCAACAUUUUGAACAUUUCAGAGACCAUGUAGCCAGGUAAUAUGUUCCAUCGUUAAAAUAAUGUUAUUUGUUUAAAAUGGAAAAGGAAAUUAUUCUUCAUUUGUUAUUAAGUAUUCAAAUUUGUUGAAGAAAAUGUAUAGAAGCCAGAAGAAUUGCACUAGGCUGUUUAUGCACUGCUGGCUCAUCGGAUAGAGCUAGCGGCGUAGCUAGCAUGCUUUUACUGAUCGGACAAUCCAAUCAAUUAUUGGGGCUUUCGUCUAAGAGAGGUAGGGGGAUUUGACUAUUGCAACACAGAUGGUACUUUUGGCAUUAACACCAAGCAGUGUUAUAUGUAGGCAAGUUUCCCCCCUCAUGAUGUGGUCGAACUGGUGGUUUCAGACAUGGGAGAAGGCAGUAUAACUGAAGUUGUUUGGGUGUUUUCCUGCUUCAGUCAAUAAAGAGGUCUCAGCCAUACAUGUUGCCAUUCGGAGGAACAAAUACUUGAAUCCCGCCACAUGGAAAUACCAAUAUUUUUCAUACGUGUCACUUAUAUCAAUGGUCAUGUCAUAUGUUGGUGAGAUAUCACGUUGAAGAAGAAAACAAAAAAGUGUAAUAAAAAUAACCUUAUUGGGUUCUCGUAGUGAGCAAAGGGAAUCUGAUAGCCAGCCUACAGCGGUUCAACUGAGCAAAAAUAUCUUGAGAGAUUUUCCAUUUUUUUUUACUCAUUCUUAAAACUGUAGGCUAUUCUCCUACAGACAUACCUCCAGCAUGUAGUGUUUUAAAACAUUUUAAUGUGUACGUUCUGGUUUAACAAAGGCCACACUAAUUUGCAUACGAAAGGUCUUUGAAAAACUUUUCAAAUCACCAAUUUUGAUAUAUCGAAUGUAGAAAAUACUUUUCAGGUUUUAGAAAUUCUCAUUAUUUUCAAAGACAUUGUAAACCCAGGGAAUGCGAGCACACAGAUCUCAUUUAAUACCUUUCUGUCAUAAAACUCCUGUCUGUAAAUAACCACAUACAAAUUGGAUAUAAACGAUUUUCAACUCCCUUGGUCUUGGCGUUUUGUUCCUUGUUUGUUUCUGUCUUUCAACAGAUCCUAAUGUGAUAAUCACCGGGCUACCAUUUUACCUCAGGCCAUUAUGUUCUUUUCCUGUAAUCAAUAGCAUAACAAACUGUACAAUUAACCUUGCUUUUCUCCCCCUUAUUUCAAACAAUACUCAAAAGACCUUGUCUUCAUUAAGCCUCUCUCCAAAGUACACAUCGCUUUACCCAAUAUAAAAUCAGUCCAUGUUUGUUAUGCUCGUUGGAGCGCAGAGCAACAGCUGAUAGCUGACAUUUGCUUUCUCUGGUGAGUUAAUUAAACCGUCCUGUGGAUCUUAGCUCCAAGAUGGAGGACAGACAGCAGAGUAGGAUGGGAUCAUGGUCGGCUGUUCUACGGUCAAGAAUAAUAAUGGUCUGCUGCUCUGUGCUUUGAAACAGCAGAACAGUCGCAGUCAGUUGCCUUCUGCAAGUUUCACUCAGCUAGUUUCCUGGCCUACAUAGUCAGCUUAUUAGACAUGUUAGUAUGUUUUUAGUUUGUUUGACAUCUUUUACUUCACCAGUCAUUUGGUGUUUGAUUCCCUUAUGCUUUCAGCAGUUAUUGUAUUUUAUGUGGGGUUGGACUUUAGCGAAUAAUCUCGUGAUAAUCUUAGAGAAUUUGACAAGCGAUUUAGCAAUCUUAAAUUUUUUAACCAUUAUAUUUCAUUCAAAAUGUAUUUUUUAUUGUAUUAAUCUGAGGUUUAAUAUCAGCCUCAAUCUCCUAACGUCUUCUAUUCUUCCUAAUCAUUGAAACCUCAUUGUGAUAAAUCCUUUGAUGGAUUAUGGUAAAAAAAACAGGUCUGCAGAUUUUCAAUAGCAUUGUUGCCGAGAUUUAAUGAGAUGUAGUGACUGGUUCAUUAAUGCUGUUUUUAGGCAGUCUGCAUAAUUUCCCCUGCAAACGGGCCGAUUCUCCCAUGGCCAUAAAGCUAAAGAGUAGAUCUACAGGCUGUGUACCCCCCCUCGUAAUGACUGUAGCAGGGGCAGCACCGUGCUAUCAUUAGCCAGAUAGUUAGCAUUGAUUCAUGGACAGUUUGCAUGAGGAAUGUGGCCUGUGGGAACCGUUGUCAGCUCAUCUUCUACUGUACGUGUGUAUAUGUGUGUGUGUGUGGGGGGGGGGGGGGGGGGGGGGGGGGGGGGGGGGGGGGGGGGGGGGGGGGGGGGGGGGGGGGGGGGGGGACUGGACGCAUUGUUAAUGACCUGUCAAUCACUGCUCCUCCUUCUCGACUUUACACUCUCACACACACACUCACACACACUCAUUCUGUAAACUGUAUCUUACCUUAAUUGAAUAUGUCAGAGCAAACAAGUCUUCAAAUUAUAAUUUUCAGUUUACAGUAUAGAUUUUGACCUUACUUUUCCAAAUCUUUAUCAUGGUGUCCUCAGUGUGUGUGUGUGUGUGUGUGUGUGUGUGUGUAUGCGGGAUGUGCACUUAACAGUCCCAUUCGCUCUAAUGUUAGUGAUGACAUGUGACAUCAACACAGGACUCUUAGUUGCUGACCUCAAAUCCUUGAUAUUCAGAAACCGACAGAUAAAAACACGAAUACAUCAGAAACAAGUUUCAAAGGCAGCUUAUCUUAUCCGAGCAGAUAUAUCAUAAUGAUGAGGCACAGUAGCUUGAGAACUGUUCUUUUUUUUCCAUCCUUCCACUAAUUUGGGAAGCUGAGGAUGUUUUGGUUGUGCCUUACUGCUCUCUGUUAACACACUCUUCACUAACACAAACUCUCCCAAGGAGAUAUAGAAUAGAAUGAACUAAAAGAACGACAAAACGCCCACCAAUAGAAACUCCCCACACAGGAGCCGAUGAGUUCCAGCUCAUUGGUGACAGACGCUGAUUGAGCCGAACCUGAGUCCGAGCCAACCCUGAUCAAUAGCCACUUUCGUGUGUGUGUGUGUGUGUGUGUGUGUGUGUGUGUGUGUGUGUGUGUGUGUGUGUGUGUGUGUGUGUGUGUGUGUGUGUGUGUGUGUGUGUGUGUGUGUGUGUGUGUGUGUGUGUGUGUGCCGACAAGGGUAGGGUCAGCAAU
ensembl:lncRNA